rnacentral:rRNA from 1 species
CCUACGGGAGGCAGCAGCGGGGAAUUGUUCGCAAUGGGCGAAAGCCUGACGACGCAACACCGCGUGGAGGAUGAAGAAUUUCGGUUCGUAAACUCCUGUCGAGCGGGACGAAAGAUGCGCGGGUUAAUACCCUGCGCAAGUGACGGUACCGCUAAAGGAAGCCCCGGCUAACUCCGUGCCAGCAGCCGCGGUAAUACGGGGGGGGCAAGCGUUGUUCGGAAUUACUGGGCGUAAAGGGCUCGUAGGCGGCCAAUUAAGUCACACGUGAAAUCCCUCGGCUCAACCGGGGAACUGCGUGUGAGACUGGAUGGCUUGAGUUUGGGAGAGGAAUGCGGAAUUCCAGGUGUAGCGGUGAAAUGCGUAGAUAUCUGGAGGAACACCGGUGGCGAAGGCGGCAUUCUGGACCAAUACUGACGCUGAGGAGGGAAAGCCAGGGGAGCAAACGGGAUUAGAUACCCCGGUAGUCCUGGCCCUAAACGAUGAAUACUUGGUGUGGCGGGUAUCGAUCCCUGCCGUGCCGAAGCUAACGCAUUAAGUAUUCCGCCUGGGGAGUACGGUCGCAAGGCUGAAACGCAAAGGAAUUGACGG